rnacentral:sRNA from 1 species
UAGGGUACAGUCUUAAUUUAUGCAGCCAUUAGAAGUGCAUGAAAUACACUGAUGGACAUUGAAACAUGGCCACGAUGAAUGAAAACAUCAGAUUGCAGAAUUACAAGGUGCGGUCAUUUUUGCAGGUGGAAAACAGGUAUAUAUGGAUGUGUACAUGCACACUCAUGUAUGUAUAUAUAUGGGUGUAUUAUAUGUGGAUUCCAAGAGUAAUUUUUUUUUUUUUUUUUUUUUUUUUUUUUGGGACAGAAUCUUGCUCUGUCACCCAGGCUGGAGUGCAGUGGGUGCAAUCUUAGCUCACUGUAACCUCUACCUCCUGGGUUCAAGCAGUUCUUGUGCCUCAGCCUCCCAAGUAGCUGGGAUUACAGGCAUGUGCCACCAUGCCCAGCUAAUUUUUCUAUAUUUUUAGUAGACAUGGGAUUUCACUGUGUUGGUCAGGCUGGUCUCGAACUCCUGACCUCAGGUGAUCCACCUACCUUGGCCUCCCAAAGUGCUGGGAUUACAGGCAUGAGCCACUGUGUCUGGCCCCCAAGUGCAUUUUUUCUCAUAACUUUUUUCUUAACAUAAAGUGGUGCUUUAGAAAAUGGUUCAUGCACUUGGUAAAAAAUUCAGAGUCCACAAAGAUGUCCUCACUGCUGCCGCCCCCUUCCCCAAGGAAGCCGACGUCGAUCCCUUCAGAGAUGUUCUGUGCGUAGGUGAGCAUGUGUGCUUGAGUGUGUGUGAGUGUGUGUAAAUGGGGCGAGAGCACCCCAUUUUUACACAGAUGUAGUUUAGGGUAUACACCUCAGUUCCCCUUCACGGGACUUAAGGGUUGAUUCCAUUGCUGCCCAUAGAAAUCUUUCGGUCACUUUUUUUUUUUUUUUUUAAAGACAGGGUUUUGCUCUGUUGCCCAGGCUGGAGUGCACAGUGACGCGAUCAAGGCUCACUGCAGCCUCCACCUCCCGGGCUCAAGUGAUCCUCCCACCUCAGCCUCCUGAGUAGCUAGGACCACAGGUGCACGCCACCAUGCUCAGCUAUGUUUUUUUAUUUUUUGUAGAGACGGGGUUCCACCAUGUUGCCCAGGCUGUUCUUGAACUCCUAAGCUCGAGUGAUUCUCUCACCUUGGCCUCCCAAAAUGAUGGGAUUACAGGCAUGAGCCACUGUGCCUGGCCUGGGUCACUUUUAAUUUAUUUUUACAUAUUUGUAGUUCUGAUUUUUCUCCUUGUGAUUUAAAAACAUACUCUCGAAGCACCUCUUUAAGAGGUGCCAUUUAUACAAAAUUAGCUGGGCAUGGUGGCACAUGCCUGUAAUCCCAGCUACUAGGGAGGCUGAGGCAGGAGAAUCGCUUGAACCUGGGAGGUGGAAGUUGCAGUGAGCCGAGAUCGUGCCAUUGCACUCCAGCCUGGGCAACAAGGGCGAAACUCCGUCUAAAAAAAAAAAAAAAAAAAAAAAGGUGCCAUUUGCCCAAAGCCUGAGGCCGACCCCCCCGCCUUCCUCCCCACUGUUGGUUCCUCGGCCUGAGGUGGGGGGUCUGAGCCAUUCCCACCAGCAGGGUGAGCAGCAGGAAGGAGGUCAGGAGCCCUGCUCAACCUUGAUGGUGGCAGAAACGAACGUGACUCACUCAUUUUCUUGGGACACAUCAGUCAGUGACAUGAAAUGGCAGAGAAGACAUCACAUUUUAUUCUCUGCCUGAAGGAAGAAAUAAAAUCACACUCCAUGAUCUUGCAGCUGGGAACUUUUUGUUUGUUUGUUUGUUUUGACAGAAUCUUGCUCUGUUGCCCAGGCUGGAGUGCAGUGGCACAAUCUUGGCUCACUGCAACCUCCGCCUGCCGGGUUCAAGCGAUUCUUGUGCCUCAGCCUCCUGAGUAGCUGGGAUUACAGGCACGCGCCACCACGCCUGGCUAAUUUUUUUGUAUUUUUAGUAGAGAUGGGGUCUCACCAUGUCACCUAGGCUUGUCUCGAACUCCUUAGCUCAGGCAAUCUGCCCACCUUAGCCUCCCAAAGUGCUAGGAUUAUAGGCAUCAGCCACCGCGCCCGGCCACAUUUCUGUUUUUCCAACCAUUAAAUCCACGUAAACCAUGGCACUCAAGCCUUCCCAUGUGACAGGUCCGUCUAGGCAGUGCCCGCCAGGUAGGUAUCACAGGCAAAGCUUCCAUUUUCUGUGAUCCUGAGUCUUGAAUUUCAGCAUGACCACAGGAGGUCAUUUACUUAGCGGAGCCUCUGGCAGGAAGGCUCGGCUAAAACGUCAAUCACUAGAUGUGGGGGGGUUCAUUCUAAUUUCCAUAUCACCUCUCCCACUGCUCCCUGAAAAGAUGCCCCACCUGUCUGGGAUGUUGCAGUGUUUGUCUGGGAGAGUAGAUAUUUGUCCUCUUGGCACUUUCUCCUUUGUUGCUCACUAAUUUAACACAAUUUGUCUUGGGCUUCUGAAUUUUGAAUCUCCCUUUGCCAUUGCUUGCAGGAGGCACCGACAUCAUCUCCUGCUUCAUGGGCCACAAUUUUUCUCUUCCUGUGUAUAAAGGGGAGAUUCAGGCCCGGAACCUGGGCAUGGCCGUGGAAGCGUGGAACGAGGAAGGAAAGGCGGUCUGGGGAGAGAGCGGCGAGCUGGUGUGUACUAAGCCGAUCCCUUGCCAGCCCACACACUUCUGGAACGAUGAGAACGGCAACAAGUACAGGAAGGCGUAUUUCUCCAAAUUCCCAGGUAUCUGGGCUCAUGGCGACUACUGCAGAAUCAACCCCAAGACCGGAGGCAUCGUCAUGCUUGGCCGGAGUGAUGGCACACUCAACCCCAACGGGGUGCGGUUCGGCAGCUCGGAAAUCUAUAACAUUGUGGAAUCCUUCGAGGAGGUGGAGGACAGCCUGUGUGUCCCCCAGUAUAACAAGUGCAGGGAGGAGAGGGUAAUCCUCUUCCUGAAGAUGGCCUCCAGGCACGCCUUCCAGCCUGACUUGGUUAAGAGGAUCCGU